GGCGAAAGCCUGACCGAGCAACGCCGCGUGAGCGAUGAAGGCCUUCGGGUCGUAAAGCUCUGUUGUUAAGGAAGAACAAGUACGAGAGUAACUGCUCGUACCUUGACGGUACUUAACGAGAAAGCCACGGCUAACUACGUGCCAGCAGCCGCGGUAAUACGUAGGUGGCAAGCGUUAUCCGGAAUUAUUGGGCGUAAAGCGCGCGCAGGCGGCUUCUUAAGUCUGAUGUGAAAGCCCACGGCUCAACCGUGGAGGGUCAUUGGAAACUGGGAAACUUGAGUGCAGAAGAGGAAAGCGGAAUUCCACGUGUAGCGGUGAAAUGCGUAGAGAUGUGGAGGAACACCAGUGGCGAAGGCGGCUUUCUGGUCUGUAACUGACGCUGAGGCGCGAAAGCGUGGGGAGCAAACAGGAUUAGAUACCCUGGUAGUCCACGCCGUAAACGAUGAGUGCUAAGUGUUAGAGGGUUUCCGCCCUUUAGUGCUGAAGUUAACGCAUUAAGCACUCCGCCUGGGGAGUACGGUC
rnacentral:rRNA from 1 species